AAUUAAUUAAUAAUAAUAUGUAACAUGCAUGACAAUAAUCAAUGAAUAUCCAGUAUAAAAUGAUAUGCAAUACAAAGGAAUGGGUAUUACGUUUCAAUGGCUAAAUAGCAUUUCCUGUCAAGAAUUCUGACGAUUUAUGAGGUAUCCUCACAGACUGAAAAAGUUUCACUCAGAGAACAGAAUUCUUCAGAGUGCAGCGUAAGGUCGUAAAGUUUAGCUGACAGUUAGAAUAACCCUUUCAAUGCUGGCUAGAUCUCCUAGGUAAUCAAGAUCUAUUCUUAUGUAAUUUUUAAAUAAAAUAACAUUUAAACCAG